GACAGAGGGUGCAAACGUUGUUCGGAAUUACUGGGCGUAAAGGGCGCGUAGGCGGCUUAACAAGUCACUUGUGAAAUCUCCGGGCUUAACUCGGAACGGCCAAGUGAAACUGUCAAGCUAGAGUGCAGAAGGGGCAAUCGGAAUUCUUGGUGUAGCGGUGAAAUGCGUAGAUAUCAAGAGGAACACCUGAGGUGAAGACGGGUUGCUGGGCUGACACUGACGCUGAGGCGCGAAAGCCAGGGGAGCAAACGGG
rnacentral:rRNA from 1 species